AUUGCUCAAGCGCUCUCUGCCCGGCCCCCUCUGAGUGUGGUUUUCCUCCCAGGCCAGCACCAAACCCAGAAUAGAGUGGCUGACUUGCUGAUUGAGGUCGGCAGCUCCCAAGAAGCAGGAGAAGCAGAGUUUUGCAGACAGACCCACGAAGUCAAACAUGCGGAGUGCAGCCAAGCCCUGGAGCCCAGCCAUCAGAGCAGGGGGCCACGGCCCAGACCGGGUGCGGCCUCUGCCUGCAGCCUCUUCGGGCAUGAAGAGUUCUAAGUCUUCAACUUCCUUGGCUUUUGAGUCCCGACUCAGCAGGCUCAAGAGGGCCAGCAGUGAGGACACGCUCAACAAGCCAGGAAGUACCGCCACAUCGGGGGUGGUUCGCCUGAAGAAGACCGCCACUUCCGGAGCCAUCUCGGAGCUCACGGAGAGCCGCCUGAGGAGCGGCACAGGGGCCUUUACAACAACCAAACGGACAGGCAUUCCAGCGCCACGGGAAUUUUCAGUAACUGUCUCAAGAGAGAGGUCUGUGCCACGUGGUCCCUCCAAUCCCAGGAAAUCGGUGUCUAGUCCAACUUCUUCCAA
rnacentral:sRNA from 1 species